UUUUCAGCUCCAGGGUUUUGUGCAACAGAAUCACCAUUCAAUCCAUCCACCGCUGAUUAUGAGAGCACAGUAAACCUCAGGGCUUAAUUCACCAGAAAGAGUGAUGGAGACAAAGUUACAAUGUCAGCUCUUCCCGGGUUUUGAGUCUUCUGGCUUUCACACUGGACCAUCAGCUCUCCUGGUUCUCUGGCCUUCAGACUCAGAUGAACUACGCCGCCAGCUCUUGGGUCUCCAACUUACAGAUCAUAGAUCUCGGGACCUGUCAGCCUCCAUAACUGUCUGCCUUACAGGAUAGAAUUAGAGAAUCCAAACAGGAAGACCACAGCACACUCCAUCCUGCAUAACAUUUACUGAGCAACUAGUACGUGUGCUAUUCUGGGAUGCAACAGGACGAAAUCCCCAGCACUAAGGUGCCCCCCAUACAGUGAAGGAAGAGAAGCAUUUGAUGCCAAUAGAUAUGCUAGAGUUCACAAUGAAGUGGCCUAAGCAUCCUCAUUAAGCAGAUAUAAUCCCUCUACUGAAAAAUCCUAAACCAAAGUCUAAUUAAAGAAAAAAAAAAUCAAAACUAAUUUCUCUAAUAAAAACAGUUGUCA